GGGACAACCGCUGGAAACGGCGGCUAAUACCGGAUGCUCCGGGGAGGCCCCAUGGCCUCCCCGGGAAAGCCUUGACGGCGCGGGAUGGGGUCGCGGCCCAUUAGGUAGACGGCGGGGUAACGGCCCACCGUGCCCGCGAUGGGUAGCCGGACUGAGAGGUCGACCGGCCACAUUGGGACUGAGAUACGGCCCAGACUCCUACGGGAGGCAGCAGUGGGGAAUUUUGCGCAAUGGGGGAAACCCUGACGCAGCAACGCCGCGUGCGGGACGAAGGCCUUCGGGUUGUAAACCGCUUUCAGCAGGGAAGACAUAGACGGUACCUGCAGAAGAAGCUCCGGCUAACUACGUG
rnacentral:rRNA from 1 species